rnacentral:rRNA from 1 species
AACGUAGGACACAAGCGUUAUCCGGAGUUACUGGGCGUUAAAAGCGUGCGUAGGCGGUUUCGUUAAGUCUGUUGUGAAAGCCCCCGGGCUCAACCUGGGAAUGGCAAUGGAUACUGGCGAGCUAGAGUGUUGUCAGAGGAUGGUGGAAUUCCCGGUGUAGCGGUGAAAUGUGUAGAGAUCGGGAGGAACAUCAGUGGACUGAAGGCGG